rnacentral:lncRNA from 11 species
AAACAAUUAAAUAAUGGAUUUAAAAAAAACACCUUUAUUCUUCUUAUUGCUAAUUUGUUUGUUUUUAUUUUAGAGGUACAGUGUGGAGAUGUCAAUCAGACACCCCAAAAAGACGGAACUUCUGAGUAAAGUUGAAGCUUUUAAGAGAAGUGGUGUGUCACUACCCAACGAUCUCCUUGAAAAAGUGGAUUCAAUUAAUGAAAAAUGGGAGCUGCUUGGGAAAACCCUAGGAGAGAAGAUCCAAGACACAAUGGUAGGGCACAGUGGGUUAGGUCCACGUGACCUGCUUUCACCUGAAAGCGGCAGCCUGGUAAGGCAGCUGGAGAUCAGGAUCAAAGAGCUGAAGGGGUGGCUGAGAGAUACUGAGCUUUUUAUCUUCAAUUCCUGUCUGAGGCAAGAAAGUGAAGGAACAAUGAAUGCUGAGAAACAACUCCAAUACUUUAAGGUAAUAAAAAAGCAUCACACACAUACACACACUGCAUUGAUACAAAUUGAGUUGCUUUCUGGAAUA